CUAGCGAGACUGCCGGUAAUAAACCGGAGGAAGGUGGGGACGACGUCAAUCAUCAUGCCCUUACUGACCUGGGCUACACACGUGCUACAAUGGUUGGUACAACGAGUUGCGAGUCGGUGACGGCGAGCUAAUCUCUUAAAGCCAAUCUCAGUUCGGAUCGUAGGCUGCAACUCGCCUACAUGAAGUCGGAAUCGCUAGUAAUCGCGGAUCAGCACGCCGCGGUGAAUACGUUCCCGGGCCUU
rnacentral:rRNA from 1 species